AGCUCUUUUUUUUUCCAGGAUGCAUGUUUUCUUUAUUCUAGGUGCAUUGCAUCUUCCUGGAAUUCCUGGCUUUAUUGAAGAUGGAAUCUUGUUUUCUUCACUAGCUUUGCUGUAUGCUGCGUGGCACAAGCGAUGAUGGCCGCAGCGUCCGAGACUGGAAUUCCUGCGGAGCAGGUGACGAAGAGGAGCCUGGCAACUGCAGGAAUAUCCUGGUUUGCUGAUGUGUUUUUUUGCUGAGGAUGGAUUCAGACCCCUGCCGUCUGACAGCUAAGUUGAGGGGCUGCAGACCACUGCCCUACAGUGUGUAAUUUUGACUUCAGUUGGAAAGAAAUUUUCAAAAACAGAAAUCUUUCUCAUUCAAAGAAAUUGCAUUUUAUUGAACUUCCCAUCAGAGUGGCUCUUCAGAGGUGAUGUACUUGGCAGUAGAAGUCAUCAGCAACAAGAAUCUUUUUGUUUUUUCCUUAUUUUUUUUUUUAAAGUCAGUUUCCCUCCAAAGACCCAAGUACAGCACAUCUUCCUAGAGUUCAUGGUGUCACUGCUCUUUUGGUUCUCAGCUGUAACAGUCGAGACAUCAUAAAAAGAUGUUACUCCAGAGUGGUUUAUC